rfam:Anaerobacillus alkalilacustris strain DSM 18345 Ga0137925_130, whole genome shotgun sequence.
CCUCCCUUUAAAUGAGUCCUGUGAGGCUUGCAAGGGGUACUCCUCUUACUGAACUAUGCUUAAUGGCAGUUCAAAAGGAUGACCGUACCUCUUUGUGUACUCAAAGAGGUUUUUUGUAU